CCUACGGGAGGCAGCAGUGAGGAAUAUUGGUCAAUGGACGCAAGUCUGAACCAGCCAUGCCGCGUGCAGGAAGACGGCUCUAUGAGUUGUAAACUGCUUUUGUACGAGGGUAAACGCAGAUACGCGUAUCUGUCUGAAAGUAUCGUACGAAUAAGGAUCGGCUAACUCCGUGCCAGCAGCCGCGGUAAUACGGAGGAUUCAAGCGUUAUCCGGAUUUAUUGGGUUUAAAGGGUGCGUAGGCGGGCGGAUAAGUUAGAGGUGAAAUCCCGAGGCUCAACUUCGGAAUUGCCUUUGAUACUGGUCGUCUAGAGAGUAGUUGCGGUAGGCGGAAUGUAUGGUGUAGCGGUGAAAUGCUUAGAUAUCAUACAGAACCCCGAUUGCGAAGGCAGCUUACCAAGCUACUUCUGACGUUGAGGCACGAAAGCGUGGGGAGCAAACAGGAUUAGAUACCCGAGUAGUC
rnacentral:rRNA from 1 species